rnacentral:rRNA from 1 species
GACGAACGCUGGCGGCGUGCUUAACACAUGCAAGUCGAACGGAAAGUCCCUGCUUUUGUUGGGUGCUCGAGUGGCGAACGGGUGAGUAACACGUGAGUAACCUGCCCUUGACUUUGGGAUAACUUCAGGAAACUGGGUCUAAUACCGGAUAGGAGCUCCUGCUGCAUGGUGGGGGUUGGAAAGUUUCGGCGGUUGGGGAUGGACUCGCGGCUUAUCAGCUUGUUGGUGGGGUAGUGGCUUACCAAGGCUUUGACGGGUAGCCGGCCUGAGAGGGUGACCGGCCAGAUUGGGACUGAGAUACGGCCCAGACUCCUACGGGAGGCAGCAGUGGGGAAUAUUGCACAAUGGGCGGAAGCCUGAUGCAGCAACGCCGCGUGCGGGAUGACGGCCUUCGGGUUGUAAACCGCUUUCGCCUGUGACGAAGCGUGAGUGACGGUAAUGGGUAAAGAAGCACCGGCUAACUACGUG